GCCAGGUGUGGUGGUGCACGCCUGUAAUCCCAGCUACUCAGGAGGCUGAGGCAGGAGAAUCGCUUGAACCCAGGAGGCAGAGGUUGCAGUGAGCCGAGAUCAUGCCAUUGCACUCCAGCCUGGGUGACAGAGUGAGACUCCGUCUCAA
rnacentral:SRP_RNA from 1 species